AACGCAUAUUGCGCCCUUUGGCAUUCCGAAGGGCAUGCCUGUUCGAGCGUCAUUAUCAACCAUCAAGCCUGGCUUGUCGUUGGACUCGUGGUCGUCAUGACCGGUCCGAAAGAUAAUGGACGGCGGUGAUUACCCCCCGAUGCAACGAGCUUUUGAUAGCACGCAUUGAAGGGUUGGUCACCCCGGCCUCACACCAUUUUCUCAGGUUGACCUCGGAUCAGGUAGGAAUACCCGCUGAACUUAA
rnacentral:misc_RNA from 1 species